rnacentral:rRNA from 1 species
GACGAACGCUGGCGGCGUGCUUAACACAUGCAAGUCGAACGAAAAGGCCCGUUUGUGGGUCCUCGAGUGGCGGACGCGUGCGUAAGACGUGAGUGACCUUCCCUUAACUAUGGGAUAACUUCAGGUAACUGGGGCCAAUACCGGUUAGGAAUCCUAGCUGCAUGGUGGUGGUUGGAUAGUUUCGGCGGUUUUUGCUGGGUUUGCGGCUUAUCAGCUUGUUGGUGGGGUUGUGGCUUACCGAGGCUUCGUAGGGUAGCAAGACUGAGUAGGCGACCGGCCACACUGGGACUGAGGGACGGCCCAGACUGCGACGGGAGGCAGCAGGGGGGAAUAUUGCACGAUGGGCGGCGGGCGGAUGAAGCAAGGCCUCGGGCGGGAAGACGGCCUUAGGGUUGAAGAACGCUUGCAGCAGGGGCGAAGCUUGUGGUGACGGUACCUGCAGAAGAAGCACCGGCUAACUACGUG